rnacentral:rRNA from 1 species
GAUGAACGCUGGCGGCGUGCCUAAUACAUGCAAGUCGAGCGAACAGACGAGGAGCUUGCUCCUCUGACGUUAGCGGCGGACGGGUGAGUAACACGUGGAUAACCUACCUAUAAGACUGGGAUAACUUCGGGAAACCGGAGCUAAUACCGGAUAAUAUAUUGAACCGCAUGGUUCAAUAGUGAAAGACGGUUUUGCUGUCACUUAUAGCUGGAUCCGCGCCGCAUUAGCUAGUUGGUAAGGUAACGGCUUACCAAGGCAACGAUGCGUAGCCGACCUGAGAGGGUGAUCGGCCACACUGGAACUGAGACACGGUCCAGACUCCUACGGGAGGCAGCAGUAGGGAAUCUUCCGCAAUGGGCGAAAGCCUGACGGAGCAACGCCGCGUGAGUGAUGAAGGUCUUCGGAUCGUAAAACUCUGUUAUUAGGGAAGAACAAAUGUGUAAGUAACUAUGCACGUCUUGACGGUACCUAAUCAGAAAGCCACGGCUAACUACGU